AUAAAUCACAUGGUUAGAGGUCAUGAUGGUAGGUGUAGUCAGAAUAAACUCUUGUGAUGAGUAUAGAUAAACUGAAUGAACCACUUAUUAACAGAACUGACAGGAGGAUAGUAGCUAGGGUAACUUCAUAUGAAAUUGUUUGGGCUACUGCUCGUAGUGUACCAAUUAGUGCAUAUUUCAAAUUGGAUGCUCCUCUUGAUCAUAAGAUAGAGUAGACAGCUAGGCUUAAUGUGGCUAGUAUAAAUAAGAGACCUAUGUUAAGAUUAAUUAGAGGAUUUGGUAUGGGGAGAGGGAUUCAUAUAAGGAGGGCAUUAGAUAAGGCUAGGGUUGAAGCGAUGAUGUAUAGGGGAAUAGUGGAUGCUAAAAGUCACAGGGGUUCUUUAAUAAAACGUUUUAUUGCAUCUGCAAAGGGCUGAAGUAGUCCAUACAGACCUACAAUGUUGGGUCUUUUGCAUAUUUGUACAUAGCCUAAGAUCUUUCAUUCAAUGAGCUUAAGGAAUACUAUGGCAAUGGCCCUAAGUCUUCUAAUUCGAACAGAACUGAGUCAAGCAGGAACUCUACUAGGACAUUAUCAGAUUUAUAAUGUUACUGUCACUGCUGACGCAUUUGUUAUAAUUUUCUUCAUAGUAAUACCAAUCAUAAAUGAGGGCUUUGGCAACUGAUUAGUUCCCCUGAUAAUCGGUGCACCAGACAUGGUAUUCCCUCGAAUAAAUAAUAUAAUAUAUCUUAGGUGCUUUACUAUUAGAAUUGUUGUUAGAGUUGUUGGUGGUUGGGUGAAUAGUUGAAUAUGACGAGGUGGAAAUUGUAAUUGAUUUUAAUAAUAUAGAAAAAUGGGUAAUUUUUGAGGGUGAGGAAGUAGGGUUAUUACGUGAGGAUUCUAUGGGUGUAGCUCCCUUGUAUAGUUAUGGGUGUUGAUUGGUGGUAGUUGCUGGUUGAUCUCUGUUUGUUAGUAUUUAUGUUGCAAUUGAGAUUACUCGGGGGAAUCGAUUAAAUAAGAAUAGAGUUAGGAGAGAUGGAAUAAGGAAAGAGAAAAAGUAGAGUUUAAUUAGGCCUUUCUGGGUAGAUUCAAUGGUGGAGGCUAAAUUUUGGACUUGAGCAGUGUUUUUGGCACUGAUUUUUCUAAUCAAAUUAGGUCUAGUAGAAUGGAGGCUAGAUUUUGACUUGCGUGUGGAUUUGAGUGUGGGGGGCAGUUGCACGAUGUAUUGUGAUUGGAUAAAACCCUAAUAUGUUUGAGAAAUUAAAUGUUUGUGAUGGAUGCUUAAGUUUAAGGUUUUUAGUCAUGAGAUUAAGUUCUGUUGCUAGUGAAAAGCCUAAAAUACUUACGCCAAGGGCUGCAAGUUUUAGGUGGAGUGGCAUAGUUAUUUGGGGAAUUGACAUUAGAGUAAUGUUGCUGGAGAUGAAGAAUCUGGUGAAAAUGCUACCAAUUGUCAGGUGUUAGACUGCAUUAAGUAGGAGGGGGUUGUUUUCGUUGAUGAUAACUGAAGUUGUGAAGCGAAGUUGUCCUAACAGUGUGAAGAAAAAAAUUUAGGUGCUGUAGACAGCAAUUAGGGAGGUGUUGAUGAGAGUACUUAAAAGGACUCAGGCAUUGGUAUAUGACGUUUGCAGUUUUGAUAAUGAGAUCUUUGGAUUAGAAACCUAUGAGGAAAGGUAUUCCUGUGAGUGCAAGGCUGCCAAUAAUAAAGGAGGUUGCGGUGAGG